UGCUUGCAGAUAUGUGUAAGAAAUCAGAAGGAAGAGAACUUGACGGACCUUGUAAAUCAGAUGGAGAUUGUCAACCUGGAUGUCCUGGAAAAAAAGGGCAAUGUAUUCGCGGUAGAUGUUGGUGUAUUGAAUCAUCAUCUUUAGAUAAUACUACUCCUAGUGUAAUCCCUCGGAUUGCAAACUGAGUAAAUUAGUAUUGUGAGGAAAUAAUCAUGUAAGAAUAAAUAAUAUGUAAUAAUACAAUUGUUUUAAAAGGAAAAUAUUUUUCUAAAAUAAAAUAUAAUCUUAUAAAAGUUGGAUAAUUAUUUUUCAAAUUUAUUUUAUCUUUUUUGUUUUCUUUUCAUUUUAAAAAAAUAUUUUAUAUUAUUAUUUUUAUUAUAUGAAUUUCAAUACAUUAUUAAAGAUUAUUAAAAUAUUUACAUAUUUAGAUUCUAUAAUAUUAUAAUAGUGAAAAUAAUUACAAAUAUGGAUCCAUAUAUAGAACACCCAUGGAAAUAUGUAUAAUACAAAUAGAUAAUAAUUGAGCAAGACGAGUAAGGCUAAAAAUUCAUGAUUUUUUUAUAUAAUUUUAAAUGAAAAACUGGUUUAAAUAGUUUCAACUGGUGUUCAUGAUUCUUUAUUGUAUUUACAACGAGUUCAAUAGAAACACUAAAAUCAGAGUCUCGCUAUUCAGCUAAAAAAUCUAAUUUUUGGUAAUUAAAUUUUGCGCCUCAAUUCUAAUUAUUGGUUUGUACAAGUUAUGCAUGAUUGUUUCUUGAUGUUUCAAAGAUUUUGGAGUAUUGUGAUCUUCCGAUGUGGAUUGUGAGCAAUGAAGAUGUUGCAUAUAGAUUUUAAUUUUUAUUUAGGCACCAUUGUAUGGUAUGUGCCUUACUGCCUUUUUAGUUUAUGGACAUACAUAUAAUGAUAUCGCUAGGCACUUGUGUUGUAUCAGUACCAAAUUAAUAUCUCGUAUAACGUAUUUUGUCGAAGAUCACUCUACCUUCCGCUGCUUAAAAUAAGUUAAAGAUAACAACAACAACAACAACAAAAGUUCUCAUUCAAUUUUGGAAGUUGGGUUGCUCCGAAUUCUAAUUUGUUAGGUUAUAUAAGUUGUGCACGACUGAUAUCUCUUGAUUAAAAUUUAUGUUUAAUUUACUAUUUAACAGUUUUAUAAAACCCAUUUUAGUUGUUUAUUUUUUAUUAAAAUUGAUUUAGUUUUAUGUCUCUCAAUUUUUUGUACUUUUCUUAUUAUUUUAAUCUAGUUAGGUUGUUGAAGAUCACUCUUGCCUUCCGUCUGCUUCAAAAAAAGUUAAAUAUAACAACAAUAAAAAUAAUGUCUUUCAAAAAAAAACAACAAAUAUUCAUGUGCUAAUAAAAAUUUAUAUUAUUUUGAAAUAAAAACAAUAACUAACUUUAUAAUGAAAAAAUAGGAAAGUUCAUAAAGUUAUUAUAUUUAUCAUAUGUUAAAAAUAUUAUUAUCAAUAAAUAUAAUAACAAAUUUACUUCUAUCAAGAAUCUAAAUCCUUGCAAUUUUUAAUCAGAACCUAUAUUAACGACAAAGAUAAUAUUAAUUUAAGUGAAACCUAUAAGUAUUUUACAAUUAUCCUGUAAAAAAUUAAGUCAAAAUUUUAAAACUAAAAUACUAUCAUUUUAAAAAAUCUAUGAACAUAAUUGAAAUAAGAGUUUAAUUGAAAUAUUACGACACUGUAAAAGGAUUUUACACCGUCAGGUAAUCAUAGACGUCGAUAUUAAAAGAAGCUGAUUUUUAGUUUAAAAAUCUAUAAAAUAAUACAAACGCGAUGAUGGUGAAGAAUCGACGGUUGUAAAACUUUUUACACUGAUAGUGUAUAGUAAUUAAUCUCUUGAAAUAAAGAGGUCAAUCUAAUGUUUUAUUUUCUACUUCAGCGUAAGAGUUUAUUCUUGUAAUUUUAAGGUCUCACAUUUCAAAUUAACAGAAUAUUUGUAAAAUGGCCGUUUAUGUCACUUGAAUUAAUAUAAAUUAUAAUUUAUUUUUAUAAAAAAAUAUUUAAUUAUGAAUAUUGACAUCUUGUUUCGAUUAACACUUUAAUGAAUACUAACAAUGCUUUAAUGAAGGCUUGAACCUAAACUCCAUAUCUUGUAUUCAACUAACCCAAUCAAGUUGAGCUUUUCUCCCGCUAAUAAACUUUCUUUUAUCCUUUCUCAAUAUUUUAAAAUGUGAUAUAUGAUUAACAAAAGUUACAUUGAACUUGUUAUUUAUAUUUUAAUUAAGAAUAUUUAUUAUUAGUUUAUUCUUUAAAUUGAUUAAAUAUAAUAUAUUUUUGCAAUUUUUAAGGAUUAUUUUAUAUUGGUAAAAAAAUGUAUAUUUUCUUAUCUUACAUAGAAUUGAAUUUACUUUUGAAUUUAAGAAACAAUUUGAAGUAAUUAAUACAGUCAAGAUGUAGUCUCACCAUAUGCAAAUUAAGUAACAGAUAUAUGUGUCAUAUCAUAUGUUUAUAUUAAAAAGAUGGAUACUACAAAGAUGUCUGCUCUUAUAAUGAUAUAUUCUUUUUGCUUUCUGCAUCUUAACAUCAGGUUUGGAACUAAUGAUAAAUGAAUAAAUCACCUGCUUUCUAAAAGGAUGUUUAACUUCUAACAAAUUUACAUUUUGAAUUAUUCUUUGUUUACAUACGAUAUUUAUUCUUAUGUUUUGAAGAAAUAUUUGUCUUGCAGAUAUGUUAAGAAAUCAGAAGGAAGAGAACUUGACGGACCUUGUAAAUCAGAUGAGAUUGUCAACCUGGGUGUCCUGGAAAAAAAGGGCAAUGUAUUCGCGGUAGAUGUUGUGUAUUGAAUCAUCAUCUUUAGAUAAUACUACUCCUAGUGUAAUCCCUCGGAUUGCAAACUGAGUAAAUUAGUAUUGUGAGGAAAUAAUCAUGUAAGAAUAAAAAUAAUAUGUAACUAAUACAAUUGUUUUAAAAGGAAAUAUUUUUCUAAAAUAAAAUAUAAUCUUAUAAAAGUUGGAUAAUUAUUUUUCAAAUUUAUUUUAUCUUUUUUUGUUUCUUUUCAUUUGAAAAAAAAUUAUAUUAUUAUUUUUAUUAUAUGAAUUUCAAUACAUAUUAAAGAUUAUUAAAAAAUAUUUACCAUAUUUAAUUCUAUAAUAUAUUAAUAGUGAAAAAUAAUUACAAAUAUGGAUCCAUAUAUAGAACACCAUGAAAUAUGCUAUAAUACAAAUAAUUAAUAAUUGAGCAAGACGAGUAAGUCUAAAAAUUCAUGAUUUUUUAUAUAAUUUUAAAUGAAAAAACUGUUAAAUAGUUUCAACUGGGUGUCAUGAUUCUUUAUUGUAUUAUACAACCGAGUUCAAUAGAAAACACUAAAAGUUCAGAGUCUCGUGCUAUUCAGCUAAAAAAACUAAUUUUUUUUGGUUAAUUAAAUUUUUGCGCCCUCCAAUUCUAAUUUAUUGGUUUGGUACAAGUUAUUGCAUGAUUGUUUCUUGAGGUUUCAAAGAUUUGGAGUUUGUGAUCUUCCGAUGUGGAUUGUGAGCAAUGAAGAUGUUGCAAUAUAGAUUUUAAUUUUAUUAGGCACCAUUGUAUGGUAGUGCCUUACUGCCUUUUUUUAGUUAUGGACAUACAUAUAAUGAUAUCGCUAGGCACUUGGCGUUGUAUCAGUGCCAAAUUAAUAUCUUGUAUAACAUAUUUUGUCGAAGAUCACUCUACUUUCUGCUUGCUUCAAAAUAAGUUAAAGAUAACAACAACAAAAAAAAAGUUCUUCAUUAAGUUUUGGAAGUUUGCUUGCGCCGAAUUCUAAUUUGUUAGGUUAUGCAAGUUGUGCACGACUGGUUGCUCUUGAUUAAAAUUUGUGUUUAAUUUACUAUUUUAACACAUUUUAUAAAACCCAUUUUAGUUGUUUAUUUUUUAUUAAAAUUGAUUUAGUUAUAUGUCUCUCAAUUUUUUUUUGUACUUUUCUUAUUAUUUUAAUCUAGUUAGGUUGUUCAAGAUCACUUUGCCUUCCGUUUGCUUAAAAAAAAGUUAAAUAUAACAACAAUAAAAAAAGAAUGUCUUUCAAAAAUAAAAACAACAAAUAUUCAUAUGCUAAUAAAAAUGUAUAUUAUUUUUUGAAUAAAAACAAUAACUAACCAUAUAAUUAAAAAUUUGGAAAAGUUCAUAAAGUUAUUAUAUUUAUCAUAUGUUAAAAAUAUUAUUAUCAAUAAAAAUAAUAAAUAUUCUACUUCUAUCCGGAAUAUAAAUCCUUGCAAUUUAUUAAUCAAGAACCUAUAUUUAACGACAAAGAUAUUAUUAAAUUAAGUGAAACUUAUAAGUAUUUUACAAUUAUCAUGUAAAAAUUUAAAUCACAAUUUUAAAACUUAAAUACUAUCAUUUAAAAAAAUCUAUGAAAUAAUUUGUAUUUCAUUAUAACUAUAUUAAAAAAAAACAUAAUUGAAAUAAAGAGGUCAAUAAAAUGCUUAUUUUCUACUUCAGCCGCAAGAGUUUAUUCUUGUAAUUUUAAGGUCUCACAUUUCAAAUUAACAGAAAUAUUUGUAAAAUGGCCGUUUAUGUCACUUGAAUUAAUAUAAAUUAUAAUUCAUUUUUUAAAAAAAUAUUUAAUUAUGAAUAUUGACAUCUUGUUUCGAUUAACACUUUAUAUGAAAUACUAACAAAUGCUUUAAUGAAGGCUUGAACCCUAAACUCCAUAUCUUGUAUUCAACUAACCCAAUCAAGACAUCUUGUUUCGAUUAACACUUUAUAUGAAAUACUAACAAAUGCUUUAAUGAAGGCUUGAACCCUAAACUCCAUAUCUUGUAUUCAACUAACCCAAUCAAGUUGAGCUUUUCUCCCGCUAAUAAAAUUUCUUUUAUCCUUUCUCAAUAUUUUUAAAAUGUGAUAUAUGAUUAACAAAGUUACAUUGAACUUGUUAUUUAUAUUUUAAUUAAGAAUAUUUAUUAUUAGUUUAUUCUUUAAAUUGAUUAAAUAUAAUAUAUUUAUUGCAAUUUUUUAAGGUAUUAUUUUAUAUUGGUAAAAAAAAUGUAUAUUUUCUUAUCUUACAUAGAAUUGAAUUUACUUUUGAAUUUAAGAAAUCAAUUUGAAGUAAUUAAUACAGUCAAGAUGUAGUCUCACCAUAUGGAUACAUAAGUAACAGAUAUAUGUGUCAUAUCAUAUGUUAUAUUAAAAAGAUGGAUACUACAAAGAUGUCUGCUCUUAUAAUGAUAUAUCUUUUUGCUUUCUGCUUCUUAACAUCAGGUUUGGAACUAAUGAUGAUAAAAUGAAUAAAUCACCUGCUUUACUAAAAGGAUGUUAACUUCUAAACAAUUUACAUUUUGAAUUAUUCUUUGUUUACAUACGAUAUUAUUCUUAUGUUUUGAAGAAAUAUUUGCUUGCAGAUAUGUGUAAAAAUCAGAAGGAAGAGAACUUGACGGACCUUGUAAAUCAGAUGGAGAUGUCAACCUGGAUGUCCUGGAAAAAAAGGCAAUGUAUUCGCGGUAGAUGUUGGUGUAUUGAAUCAUCAUCUUUAGAUAAUACUACUCCUAGUGUAAUCCCUCGGAUUGCAAACUGAGUAAAUUAGUAUUGUGAGGAAAUAAUCAUGUAAGAAUAAAAAUAAUAUGUAAUAAUA
rnacentral:lncRNA from 1 species